ensembl:lncRNA
AUUUAAACCAAUUAGAAGCUAAAAACGACACGCAUGUUUUCCAAUGAUUCAUGACUGAGGACACAGACAACUGGAAACCGACGGCAACAACGCGCUUACAUCCCGCUAACGGAAUGCGUCCGGUUAGCUCGACACAACGCGAAUGCGGCGGCGGGAAGAGGCGGCGUUAAUCCAGAUUGACAUGUCCCGCAGACGAAGAGCAGGCGAAGGCGUGCCGAUUUGUGGCGGCUGGGAUCUACUUGCCUUCCGGAGGACAAAAAGGGGGCCUUAAAAAACACGAGCUCACCAGAUCGGCCGGAUUCCAAUCAUGGAAAGAAGACCAAAAGAUGCCGUGAGGUCUCGACGGCUGGAAGUCUAUUUUGGCACACAUGUAAUAGCUGAAUUGCUAAAUAUUCCUGCUUGGUUUUUCAGUGUUCGGCUCUCCACCGGAAGCCAUUUAUCUCCACUUAAGCGGGUCCCUGCUGAUGCAGCCGCCCGGGCGCCGGGGCCGGUACCGUCCUUUCAUGUGAUCUCACGUGAAAUGAAAACAUUUAUUACAUUAAAUACUACGCGGUGCAUUUAGCUACAUUAAUUCAAGUCCCUUUAGCUGAAUGCUGGAAACUAAUGAAGGGAAAUACAGUUUAAAUCUGAGCUCACAGCAAAUAACAUGAAGCUUUUAUACCUAACUGCAUUCUGUUUGUGUUGUUGUUGUUGUCGUUUGCACUCAUUCAAUCAAUUUGGUCCAUUUGGAGUCAAACCAAGGGGGGCGGGACUCACUAUGAUUGACAGAGCGUUGCCGUGGUACGUCCUUCCUCUGCCUUCCCGAUGCGGUAACCUCCGUUCACUGGUUGGAAAAGACCAAGAUGGCGGCCGCUGUAAUCCAAGAUGGCGUCGGCCAAGAGGAGGCUUCAGAACAGCGGUCCACAAACCAGCGGGCGGGGGGGGGGGACACGUCCACUUCUCACGCGCGUCUCGUCUUGUCAUGACGUCUCCUGGAGGCUCCUGGCUGCCUUGUCCUCCUCAGCUUCUCGUCCCUCACCAGACCUCGUCUCGCCGUGAGUCUCCUUGACCUUCAUUCGUCCACGCUGCGGCUGUUUGGGAACGCGCU